UGGGGAAUUGUUCGCAAUGGGCGCAAGCCUGACGACGCAACGCCGCGUGGAGGAUGAAGACCUUCGGGUCGUAAACUCCUUUCGACCGAGAUGAAUUCCUGCCGGCCUAAUAUGCUGGCGGGUUGACAGUAUCGAGGGAAGCAGCCCCGGCUAACUCCGUGCCAGCAGCCGCGGUAAUACGGGGGGGGCAAGCGUUGUUCGGAAUUACUGGGCGUAAAGGGUUCGUAGGUGGCUUGCUCAGUCAGACGUGAAAUCCCUCAGCUUAACUGGGGAACUGCGUCUGAUACUGGCGAGCUUGAGUGCAGGAGAGGAACGCGGAAUUCCAGGUGUAGCGGUGAAAUGCGUAGAUAUCUGGAGGAACACCGGUGGCGAAGGCGGCGUUCUGGACUGCAACUGACACUGAGGAACGAAAGCCAGGGGAGCAAACGG
rnacentral:rRNA from 1 species